rnacentral:rRNA from 1 species
UAGGGAAGAUAAUGCUAGAAUUAGUAAUAAGAGGGAAAGACCCUCUCCCGGCACAGUCGUAAGUCAGGCAGGACUGCCCACUGACAAGUAACGGACCCAAAAUGAAGGAAGCGCAACACAAACAAGAAAAACAAGCCCGCCCUGCCCUAACCCCCGUUACCCCGACACAGGAGUGCCCCCGGGAAAGACUAAAAGGAAGAGAAGGAACUCGGCAAACCCAAACCUCGCCUGUUUACCAAAAACAUCGCCUCUCGCUAACAAUGAAGUAUUAGAGGUCCCGCCUGCCCUGUGACGUAAGUGUUUAACGGCCGCGGUAUUUUAACCGCGCGAAGGUAGCGUAAUCACCUGUCUUUUAAAUGGAGACCUGUAUGAAUGGCAUAACGAAGGUUUAACUGUCUCCUCUCCCCGGUCAGUGAAAUUGAUCUGCCCGUGCAGAAGCGGGCCCAGCAACAUAAGACGAGAAGACCCUAUGGAGCUUUAGGCAUACACCCAAGCGCCCCAAGCCCCUCCAAUACGAUAUGCAAUGAGCGUGGAAAGCGAGCGCCCCUGGGUGAGUGAGCCUUCGGUUGGGGCGACCGUGGAGGAAAAAAAAGCCUCCAAGAAGAAUAAGGAAAACCCUUAAGCCAAGAAAGACAUCUCUAAGCAACAGAAACUCUGACUACGUGUGACCCAGUAACUAACUGAUCAACGAACCAAGUUACCCUAGGGAUAACAGCGCAAUCCUUUCCCAGAGUCCAUAUCGACGAAAGGGCUUACGACCUCGAUGUUGGAUCAGGGCAUCCUAAUGGUGCAGCAGCUAUUAAGGGUUCGUUUGUUCAACGAUUAACAGCCCUACGUGAUCUGAGUUCAGACCGGAGUAAUCCAGGUCGGUUUCUAUCUAUGAGUUGACCUAUUUCUAGUACGAAAGGACCGAGAUAGGAGGGCCAAGACUACAACAGCAAGCCCUAUCCCAACCCACUGAUACCAUAUGAAAUGG